CAAUAGCGUAUAUUAAAGUUGUUGCAGUUAAAAAGCUCGUAGUUGGAUUUGUGGUGUACUUUGGCGGCCCGUCACACUGUGAUGGAGCUUGCUGAAGUCGCCAUCCUUGGGUGGAUCCUGUGUGGCAUUAAGUUGUCGUGCAGGGGAUGCCCAUCGUUUACUGUGAAAAAAUUAGAGUGUUCAAAGCAGGCUUAUGCCGUUGAAUAUAUUAGCAUGGAAUAAUGGAAUAGGACCUGGUUACUAUUUUGUUGGUUUGCAUAGCUAGGUAAUGAUUAACAGGGACAGUUGGGGGUAUUCGUAUUUAAUUGUCAGAGGUGAAAUUCUUGGAUUUAUGAAAGACGAACGACUGCGAAAGCAUUUACCAAGGAUGUUUUCAUUAA
rnacentral:rRNA from 1 species